rnacentral:rRNA from 1 species
GUGCGAAUGCUGACAUAAGUAACGAUAAAGCGGGUGAAAAGCCCGCUCGCCGGAAGACCAAGGGUUCCUGUCCAACGUUAAUCGGGGCAGGGUGAGUCGACCCCUAAGGCGAGGCCGAAAGGCGUAGUCGAUGGGAAACAGGUUAAUAUUCCUGUACUUGGUGUUACUGCGAAGGGGGGACGGAGAAGGCUAUGUCAGCCGGGCGACGGUUGUCCCGGUUUAAGCAUGUAGGCGGAGGUUCCAGGUAAAUCCGGUACCUUAUUAACGCUGAGGUGUGAUGACGAGGCACUACGGUGCUGAAGUGAUAAAUGCCCUGCUUCCAGGAAAAGCCUCUAAGCAUCAGGUAACACGAAAUCGUACCCCAAACCGACACAGGUGGUCAGGUAGAGAAUACCAAGGCGCUUGAGAGAACUCGGGUGAAGGAACUAGGCAAAAUGGUGCCGUAACU